UCUAAACUGGCGAAAUCGAGUUGGACAGAGGUAAAUGGAAUUCUGUGUGUAGGGGUAAUAUCCGUAGAUAUACAGAGGAACACCAAAAGCGAAGGCAAUUUACUGGGUCCAUACUGACGCUCAAGAACGAAAGCGUGGGAGCAAACAGGAUUAGAUACCCUGGUAGUCCACGCCCUAAACUAUGAUAACUCGAUGUUGGAGGAUUCGACCCCUUCAGUGUCUAAGCUAACGCGAUAAGUUAUCCGCCUGGGUAGUACGGUCGCAAGACUAAAACUCAAAGGAAUAGACGGGGACCCGCACAAGCGGUGGAGCAUCUGGUUUAAUUCGACAGUAAGCGAAAAAUCUCACCAAGGCUUGACAUCCCGAGAAGACCGCCGAAAGGUGGUUGUGCCGUAAGGAACUCGGAGACAGGUGCUGCAUGGUUGUCGUCAGCUCGUGCCUUGAGGUGUUCGGUUAAGUCCGUAAACGAGCGCAACCCAUGUCAUAAGUUAUAUAUGUCUUAUGAGACUGCCGAUUCUAAGUCGGAGGAAGGUAUGGAUGACGUCAAAUCAGCAUGGCCCUUAUGCCUUGGGCUACACAGGUGCUACAAUGGCAGAUAUAAUAGGAAGCCAAACGGUAACGUGGAGCAAAUCCUCAAAGUCUGUCUAAGUUCGGAUUGAGGGCUGAAAUUCGCCCUCAUGAAGCUGGAAUCGCUAGUAACCGCAAAUCAGCAUGUUGUGGUGAAUAUGUUCCCGGGUCUUGUACUCACCGCCCGUCAAGUCAUGAAAGAUUGGAGUGCCCGAAGUCCCUUUAGCUUUUAGCGAGGGCCUAAGGUAAUACAAUUGAUUGGGACUAAGUCGUAACAAGGUAACC
rnacentral:rRNA from 1 species